GACGAACGCUGGCGGCGUGCCUAAUACAUGCAAGUUGAGCGCUGAAGGUUGGUACUUGUACCGACUGGAUGAGCAGCGAACGGGUGAGUAACGCGUGGGGAAUCUGCCUUUGAGCGGGGGACAACAUUUGGAAACGAAUGCUAAUACCGCAUAAAAACUUUAAACACAAGUUUUAAGUUUGAAAGAUGCAAUUGCAUCACUCAAAGAUGAUCCCGCGUUGUAUUAGCUAGUUGGUGAGGUAAAGGCUCACCAAGGCGAUGAUACAUAGCCGACCUGAGAGGGUGAUCGGCCACAUUGGGACUGAGACACAGCCCAAACUCCUACGGGAGGCAGCAGUAGGGAAUCUUCGGCAAUAGACGAAAGUCUGACCGAGCAACGCCGCGUGAGUGAAGAAGGUUUUCGGAUCGUAAAACUCUGUUGGUAGAGAAGAACGUUGGUGAGAGUGGAAAGCUCAUCAAGUGACGGUAACUACCCAGAAAGGGACGGCUAACUACGUG
rnacentral:rRNA from 1 species